AAUGAACGCUGGCGGCUUGCUUUACACAUGCAAGCCGGACGGCACCACAAAGAACCUUCCUCCCUGGCUGGCGAGUGGCAACCGGGUGAAAAAUCUACCGGACCGCCCCAAGUAAUGGGGAAUAACUAAUCGAAAGAUUAGCUAACACCGCAUAUUCUCUGAAGAGGAAAGCAGGACACCUUCAGGCCUUGCGUUAUUCCAGCGGCCGAUAUCUGAUUAGCUAGUUGGUGGGGUAAAGGCCCACCAAGGCGACGACCAGUACCGGGCCUGAAAGGAUGAUCCGCCACAUUGGACACUGACACACCGCCCACACUCCUACGGGACGCAGCAGUGGGGCAUUGUGGACAAUGGACACCCGCCUGAUCCAUGCCUGACGCGUGUCUGAGGAAGGCCUUCGGCUUGUAAAGGACUUUUGUCAGGGAAGAAAAGGCUGUUGCUAAUAUCGACGGCUGACCACGGGACCUGAACAAUAAGCCCCCGCUAACUACGUGCCAGCAGCCGCGGAAAUACGUAGGGUGCGAGCGAUAAUCCGAAUUACUGGGCAUACAGCGAGCGCAGACGGUUACUCACCCCUGAUGUGCAAUCCCCCAGGCUCAACCUGCGAACUGCUAUCUGAACUGGAUGACUAUAAUGUGUCCAGAGCGCGGUAGAAUUCCACAUGUAGCGGUGAAAUGCCCAGAGAUGUGGAGGAACACCCGUGGCGAAGGCCACCUUCUGGUAUAAACCUGACCCUGAUGUCCCAAAGCGUGGGGAUCAAACCAGGAUUAAAUUCCCUGGGUUGUCCCCGCCUAAAGGGAAGGCAUAUAGCUUUGGGGCUUUCAACGCCUUAGUACUGCAGCUAACGCGUGAAACACUCCGCCUGGGGAGUACGCUCGCAAGUUUAAACUCAAAAGGAAUUGCCGGGGCCCACCCCAACGGGUGGACGAUGUGGAUUAACUAGACGACUCGAGAAGCCCUUCCCCAUCUCACGACAUGUUCGGCCCUUUACAGAGAGAGUUUUGCCCUUUCGGGGACACGUCGCACAGGUGUUGCAGGGCUUUCUCCAGCUCGUUUCGUGAAAUGUUGGGUAAAGUCCCGCACCGACCCCACCCUUAGUCAUCAUUCCCAUCCAUAAGGUUGGCCAUUUAAAUGAGACUCCCGGUGCCAACCCGGAGGAAGGGGGGGAUGAGGUCAAGUCUCCACCGCCCUUACGUCCAGGCCUCCCCCCGUCACCCAUUGGCAGUUCCAGAGGGAACGCAACCCGGAAGGCGGACACAUUCUCACAAAGCUCUAUUGUAGUCCGGAUUGUAUUCUGCACCUCGACUUCAUAAAGUCGGAAUCGCUAGUAAUCGCAGAUCAGCAUGCUGCGGUGAAUACGUUCCCGGGUCU
rnacentral:rRNA from 1 species